AUUGAACGCUGGCGGCAGGCCUAACACAUGCAAGUCGAGCGAGCGGCGGACGGGUGAGUAAUGUAUGGGGACUGCCCGAUAGAGGGGGAUAACUACUGGAAACGGUAGCUAAUACCGCAUACUAUCGGAUAACCCAGAUGGGAUUAGCUAGGAGGUGGGGUAAUGGCUCACCUAGGCGACGAUCCCUAGCUGGUCUGAGAGGAUGAUCAGCCACACUGGGACGGAAACAAGGCCCGGACUCCUACGGAGGCAGCAGUGGGGAAGAUGGCACCAUGGGCGCAAUCCUGAUGCAGCCAUGCCGCGUGUAUGAAGAAGGCCCUAGGGUUGUAAAGCACUUUCAGUCGGGAGGCGUUACCGGCAGAAGAAGCACCGGCUAACUCCGUGCCAGCAGCCGCGGUAAUAC
rnacentral:rRNA from 1 species